rnacentral:rRNA from 1 species
UACGUAGGUGGCAAGCGUUGUCCGGAAUUACUGGGUGUAAAGGGCGUGUAGGCGGGACUUUAAGUCAGAUGUGAAAUACCCGAGCUUAACUCGGGUCGUGCAUUUGAAACUGAGGUUCUUGAGUGAUGGAGAGGAAAGCGGAAUUCCUAGUGUAGCGGUGAAAUGCGUAGAUAUUAGGAGGAACACCAGUGGCGAAGGCGGCUUUCUGGACAUUAACUGACGCUGAGGCGCGAAAGCGUGGGGAGCAAACAGGAUUAGAUACCCUGGUAGUCCACGCUGUAAACGAUGAUUACUAGGUGUGGGAGGUAUCGACCCCUUCCGUGCCGCAGUUAACACAAUAAGUAAUCCACCUGGGGAGUACGGCCGCAAGGUUGAA